rnacentral:rRNA from 1 species
UUGGAGGGCAAGUCUGGUGCCAGCAGCCGCGGUAAUUCCAGCUCCAAUAGCGUAUAUUAAAGUUGUUGCAGUUAAAAAGCUCGUAGUUGAAUUUCGGGAUCAAUGUUUCGGUCAUGCCCUUGGUAUGUACUGAUAUUAUUGGUUUCUCACCUUCUAAAGAACCGUAAUGCCAUUAAUUUGGUGUCACGGGGAAUUAGGACUGUUACCUUGAAAAAAUUAGAGUGUUUAAAGCAGGCUCACGCUUGAAUACAUUAGCAUGGAAUAAUGAAAUAGGACAUCCGAUUCUAUUUUGUUGGUUUCUAGGAUCGAUGUAAUGAUUAAUAGGGAUAGUUGGGGGCAUUAGUAUUCAAUUGUCAGAGGUGAAAUUCUUGGAUUUAUUGAAGACUAACUACUGCGAAAGCAUUUGCCAAGGAUGUUUUCAUUAAUCAAGAACGAAAGUUAGGGGAUCGAAGACGAUCAGAUACCGUCGUAGUCUUAACCAUAAACUAUGCCGACUAGGGAUCGGAUGAUGUUAAUUUUUUAAUGACUCAUUCGGCGCCUUACGGGAAAC